UACGGAGGAUGCGAGCGUUAUCCGGAUUUAUUGGGUCUAAAGGGUGCGUAGGCGGUCCGUUAAGUCAGCGGUAAAAUUGCGGGGCUCAACCCCGUCGAGCCGUUGAAACUGGCAGACUUGAGUUGGCGAGAAGUACGCGGAAUGCGCGGUGUAGCGGUGAAAUGCAUAGAUAUCGCGCAGAACUCCGAUUGCGAAGGCAGCGUACCGGCGCCAGACUGACGCUGAGGCACGAAAGCGUGGGGAUCGAACAGG
rnacentral:rRNA from 1 species